AGGUAGUGGGUGUGUGGGGUGAAGUCAGCGCUCUUCUGUGGAAAAAACCAGAGGCAAUUAAUUCACUCAGGUGCGAGUGGGUAUACUGUCGUGUGACCACGAAUUUUAAUAGAAGAAUUGAUCAAGCCCUAGAUCGACUGCGCGCAGGGAAACUGAUCAAUAUUAUCACAGGCCAUACAUAGCACUGAUUCCCAG